UUACACAUGCAAGUCGAACGAUGAUCCCCNNGCUUGCUUNGGGGAUUAGUGGCGAACGGGUGAGUAACACGUGAGUAACCUGCCCUUAACUCUGGGAUAAGCCUGGGAAACUGGGUCUAAUACCGGAUAUGACUCCUCAUCGCAUGGUGGGGGGUGGAAAGCUUUAUUGUGGUUUUGGAUGGACUCGCGGCCUAUCAGCUUGUUGGUGAGGUAAUGGCUCACCAAGGCGACGACGGGUAGCCGGCCUGAGAGGGUGACCGGCCACACUGGGACUGAGACACGGCCCAGACUCCUACGGGAGGCAGCAGUGGGGAAUAUUGCACAAUGGGCGCAAGCCUGAUGCAGCGACGCCGCGUGAGGGAUGACGGCCUUCGGGUUGUAAACCUCUUUCAGUAGGGAAGAAGCGAAAGUGACGGUACCUGCAGAAGAAGCGCCGGCUAACUACGUGCCAGCAGCCGCGGUAAUACGUAGGGCGCAAGCGUUAUCCGGAAUUAUUGGGCGUAAAGAGCUCGUAGGCGGUUUGUCGCGUCUGCCGUGAAAGUCCGGGGCUCAACUCCGGAUCUGCGGUGGGUACGGGCAGACUAGAGUGAUGUAGGGGAGACUGGAAUUCCUGGUGUAGCGGUGAAAUGCGCAGAUAUCAGGAGGAACACCGAUGGCGAAGGCAGGUCUCUGGGCAUUAACUGACGCUGAGGAGCGAAAGCAUGGGGAGCGAACAGGAUUAGAUACCCUGGUAGUCCAUGCCGUAAACGUUGGGCACUAGGUGUGGGGGACAUUCC
rnacentral:rRNA from 1 species